rnacentral:lncRNA from 1 species
CCACCAUAAAACCUGAAAAUAUCACAUUUAUUUCGACGAAAUACAACAGACAAUCGCACAACGUUCACAUUUCUUCGAGCAAAAACUUCUGAAAUGCUAGCUGUACAAACAUCGAUGUGGUUAACAAAAUAAAGCUACACUGGCUCGCUUCUUCUUGUUGACGGGAACAAACCAGCAGCGCGGUCCUGCCCGCGUCGAGGACGUACGUCGACGCCGGCGUCAAUUUGCACGCGCAUGGAGCUCACGAACCCACCCCAACGUCGCCGGAGAAGAAAACCUUCCCCCUCGAGGUGGUGGUGGAGGAGAGGAAGGUUUUUGUGGCCGCGGUGGAGGUUCUUGUGGACGUUUUUGGGCGCCACCGCCGCUGCGUGCGGGAGAGGCUGGUCCCCGCCUGCACCCCCGCGUGCCGCCGGCCGGUCCCUGCAUGCCUCUUCUCGCCGUCGUCUCCACGUGCGGGAGCCGCCACUCACCGCCUCCGCACGCCGCCGCCUGAAGAGGCCAAGUGAUUAGAACGAGCCACAUGUUGGACACGAUUUUGUGUACGUAGGAUUGGAAAUUGUGCCUAUAAAAUUUAUAUAACCGCUACAACACGAUGUUUCCGCUAUAUUACCGGGAUACUUUAAUGAUCUCGACCGCACUCCCCCCACACCGCAGGCCGGACCGAACUUAUUAAACGCUGUUCACACGACCACACCUUCCCGUGCCGUAGGUCAGAGCUCAGUAUCAUGCGCCAUACCUCACUGGCGCAAUGCCGCCGUCGUCCGUCCACGCGCGGGAGCCACCGUUCCCCGCCUUCGCAUGCCACCUUUGAAGAGGCUAAGGGAUUAGAAUGAGCCACAGAUUGAACAUGGUUAUGUGUAUAUAGGGUGGUAAUUGUCUCUAUAAAAUUUAAGGGUUGAGUUUAAAAUAAAGUGAACUGAAAUUUAUAGUAUUUUAAUUUAAGUACCACUGUGAAAAGACCUAAUUAAGGGCCUUAGUCCAUUAUUUCGGCAACAUGUGAAUAUAUUUUUCCUUUCCCUUAAUAAAACCCAAACAGUGUAAAACAACAGUGUCCGAUGACACCUUUAAUCUUAAAAAGCAGAGUCAAAUAAAUAAACAUAAAAAAGUAGGGUUAUUUUGGUAGUUGAGUUUCAAAAUAGGGUUAAAUGAGUCAUUCUCCCAAUAAAAGAAGUAGAUGGAGUAGCACGUCAUCUGGCCUAUUAGUGUGGAAUAAGAUUAUAGAUAGCCAUGGAACAGCUUGCCUUGUUAUGCCUUUGCUGAAGCCUCCAUU